UAAUGAUAAGUUCUCUCUGACUCAGUCAAAGCCAGCACAUUCCUCACCGCACUGAAUCGUCAUCGUAUCCGGCGCCGUCUGCCGUACGUCCUCUCCUCUCAUCCCGCCAUCGUCUGUUUCUUCUGGCGCUUUCAGUUGCGGGGUUCCAUACAGGCGCGGCGCGUCGCUCUCAACGGGGCCACAAAUGGCAAAGAAAUCUAUGGGGAUGGAAUCAGAGAUUUUGCCGGUUAUGAGUGAUCGAGAUUUCGCGUUGAAAGAUCCAAGCUUGAGAUGCACGAUCCAAAGAUGCCAAAGCUCGGGAAAUAGGGGCAUUUGUCGUCAAUGAUCUGCAUUGAACAAUUAUUACUACAACCUUUGGUAAUACUAGUUAGUCUUAGGACAUUGCAAUAAAAUCUUUCCAGUUUCGGACAUUGUCAGGAAUUUUCGUCGUUAAUUUUAGUAAGGAGAAAGAGCAAUGCUUGUAAAUGGAAUCGCGGCUCUAAAUUUGGAUCAACACUAUCAUACUAAAUGCACAUAAAUUUAUCUCUGCCUA